rnacentral:rRNA from 1 species
UACGUAGGGGGCAAGCGUUGUCCGGAAUCAUUGGGCGUAAAGAGCGCGUAGGCGGUCCGGUAAGUCCGCUCUGAAAGCCCGGGGCUUAACCCCGGGUCGGCAGUGGAUACGGGCAGGCUAGAGGUAGGUAGGGGAGAAUGGAAUUCCCGGUGUAGCGGUGAAAUGCGCAGAUAUCGGGAGGAACACCGGUGGCGAAGGCGGUUCUCUGGGCCUUACCUGACGCUGAGGAGCGAAAGCGUGGGGAGCGAACAGG